UACGGAGGAUCCAAGCGUUAUCCGGAUUUAUUGGGUUUAAAGGGUGCGCAGGCGGAAGAUUAAGUCGGCGGUGAAAUUUUGCAGCUCAACUGUAAAAGUGCCAUCGAUACUGGUUUUCUUGAGUGUGGAUGAAGUAGGCGGAAUUUGUGGUGUAGCGGUGAAAUGCAUAGAUAUCACGAGGAACUCCGAUUGCGCAGGCAGCUUACUAGGCCAUAACUGACGCUCAGGCACGAAGGCGUGGGGAUCAAACAGGAUUA
rnacentral:rRNA from 1 species